CUAGGCCUGGAAGAGUAGCAUAGCAUGAUUUCUGCUGGAUUCUAUUGGUCAACAUUGUGACAGAGACCACCCAGAUUCAAGGAGAAUGGGUCUGCGUCUUAAUGGACAGAGUGGCAAAGAAUUCGCAGCCAUCUUUUAUCCAUCCGAGAGGCUGAGAAGUCCCAUGAUCUGCCAUCUGCAAGCUGGAGAACAGGAAAGCUGAUGGUGUAGUUCUAAUCCGAACCGGAAGGCCUGAGAACCAGGGAUGCCGACAGUGGUUUUAUUUACUUGAGAGUGAGAGCACAAGCAAGGUGAGAGG